UCCCUGGUAGUCCAGUGAUUAGGAUUCCAUGCUUUCACUGCCAGGACCCAGGUUCAAGCCCUGGUCAGGGAA
rnacentral:tRNA from 1 species